rnacentral:rRNA from 1 species
CCUACGGGAGGCAGCAGUGGGGAAUAUUGCACAAUGGGGGGAACCCUGAUGCAGCGACGCCGCGUGGGUGAAGGAGUAUUUCGGUAUGUAAAGCCCUAUCAGCAGGGAAGAACAAUGACGGUACAUGACUAAGCAGCACCGGCUAAAUACGGGCCAGCAGCCGCCGUAAUACGUAUGGUGCAAGCGUUAUCCGGAUUUACUGGGUGUAAAGGGAGCGCAGGCGGCGCGUUAAGCCUGGUGUGAAAGCUCGGGGCCCAACCGCGGGACUGCAGUUGGAACUGGCGCGCUGGAGUGCCGGAGGGGUAGGCGGAAUGCCUGGUGUAGCGGUGAAAUGCGUAGAUAUUAGGAGGAACACCAGUGGCGAAGGCGGCCUACUGGACGGUGACUGACGCUGAGGCUCGAAAGCGUGGGUAGCGAACAGGAUUAGAUACCCCUGUAGUC